UUCCUCGUUCACGACUUCACGUACUCUAUCUCUCGCUAACCCUAAUUAGCUGAAACACCAAAAGAACCGCAUCGUACCUCUCCUCUCUGCAAAUUCGAAACCGUUAUGCUCUCUGCCAAUCUGCCAUUGAUAUUCAUCAAGGUUUAUCUUUAAUUUAUACUUGAGCCUUUUUCAUCUUCAACCUUCGCAAUUUAAAUUUCUUUUUCCCCGGAAAUCUCUCAAAUAUGGUGGUAAUCGAACAAUCAAACGACGAACCUGCUGCAGCACGAUUCAGAACCUGAAACGAGUUCCGUCAACAACAAAGAAGAAACGGAUGGUUUCUAAACGGCUAGCGAAGGCGAUCAUUCUGAUAAAGGUACCGACUAUGGCGACGACGAACAACAACAACAAGAAAAAUCUGCGCCAUUGACGGCUGUUAAGGAUGAUUCUUAUGAAGAUGCUCUUGAUGAUGAUCAAUUGAAACAGUUUAUACCGGGCUUAUCCUCGUGAGUGGGACUAUGCAAGGUUGAGGCAGAUUGCUGAAGUGUGGUGCUAUUUUGAUGUGUGAUAUGGCUCAAAUUAGUGGUCUUAUUGCUGCUAAGUCCCAGAGAAUGGCAUGGGGCCUCAAAGAGCUGCAGUGGGGAGGCAGAACCACUACGAGGUUCAAUAUACCCAGCAGGCUCACCUCCAGCAGCAGACAUAGUGAGGAGAGUAAUCAGCACAAUGAAGAAGCCAGCUUACCUGCUUGACAUUACAACAUUAUCACAACUAAGGAAAGAUGCUCAUCCGGAAACUUACAGUGGUGAUCACUCUGGAAUCUCCAUCACUCUGUAGUUGGUGGAUCCGAUUGAAUAUCAGUUUAAAGAAGAAGAGCCUCGACCACAAGCAGCUAAGAAUCUGUUUCAAACAAUAAGAGAAUGCCAGACAGCUGCAAGAUCAUUACCACUCUACCAGCUAGUGAAAGAGAAAUUGUGCUGUCGGAAUGUACUAAAUAUGAACAAUGGCUGGUAAACAAAAUUCAGGAGCAGGAAUCACGGCCCGAAAACAAUGAUCCACACUAAGUUCACGCGAUAUUGAAGAUGCCACACAAAGCUUGCUAGACAGUUUUGCACAUAACAACAUGUAUCCAUUACUAAAACUAAUGGAAUAGUGGAGAUCAUUUGACGAGGUGAGAAGCAUACGAGCCCCUUCAGUUACAUUCGGUCAGUUUUGAAGGAUAUAUGAAAAAAAUAUUGGAAGUGGAAGCUUCAAAUGAGCAGGCUAGGAGGAAUAUUGUUCGAAUGGAGCCAUUAGCCCGAGAAAAGGCGGAAAAGAUGAAGGAAGAAAUGAUUGGUAACCUUUUUCUUCUUCACACUUCCGCUGAUCCUCUCCUGUAUCUUCACUCUCCUUUGUGAUUACCUUCUCACUGUGUAGUCUUGCGCGUUGGUAUUAUGCUUCUUCCCUUUUUAAAUGGCUUGCUUUAUGGAUGUUGAUUUAUACUGUACAUGAUUUUGUCUAUACUGAGGUUUGUGUGCAAAACAAGUCAGAUGCUAAAGUUGUCCUUGUUCUGUUGUGCUCCUACAGGUCUGUCUGCAGGGUACUUUCUUCCUUUUGGUAAAAAAAAAAACAUAGCUGCUUGAAUUGAAGUUUUUGACCAAUUAUAACUUGAACUCCAACACCUACUGCAACUGCUCUGCUUGAACUCCAACACCUACGCUGUUGCAAUCAUAGCAAAUAUAACUUGAACUCCAACACCUACUGCAACUGCUCUUUGUACUUGUUUAAUCUUGUUUUGCCUAUAUUACUCUAACUCUUAUCUUUUGUACUUGACUGCUUGUUACAUUUUAUUUUUACUUAUUAUAUUUUUUAUUUUGCUUUGUAGGUCGUCCAACGUGAUAAAGGAGCAACGAAAGAAUGAAGUAGCCUAUGACACUUGAGCUUCAUAUUAGCUACUACGAACAAUAGUCUAUAAAUAUAUAGCUAGUGCCUAGUUACUUAUUUUAGGCUUUAUUUUCUUUUGCGUACUAUAAAUUUUAGUUUUUCUAGGCUUUAUUUUCUUUUACGUACUAUGAAUUUUAGUUUAUCUAGGCUUUAGUUUCAUUUGGCUAUUACGAACCAUCAUCUAUAAAUAUAUGGCUAGAUCCUAGUUAGUUAGUAAUAUGAAUGCACUAUGGAUUUUAACUACUUAUUGUGAUUAAUAAAAUUUUAUUAUUUGCCAAA